AUGAAUACUACAAGGAAAUCUCUUGUGGCCAUUUUAUUCUUAUUGGCCUUCUUCGUCUCUGCAUCAGAUGUUUGCGCUGAAGGAGUAUUAUAUUGUAAAAAAGAUCAAGAUUGUAAUUCAAAUUGUCAAUAUCCUAAUCUAGGACGGUGUCUUAAGGGAAGAUGUUGGUGUUUUACUCCACCAUCUUCUUCUAAUGAGAGACCUAGUCAAAUACCCUAG